rnacentral:rRNA from 1 species
GACGAACGCUGGCGGCGUGCUUAACACAUGCAAGUCGAACGGAAAGGCCCUGCUUUUGUGGGGUGCUCGAGUGGCGAACGGGUGAGUAACACGUGAGUAACCUGCCCUUGACUUUGGGAUAACUUCAGGAAACUGGGGCUAAUACCGGAUAGAAGCUCCUGCUGCAUGGUGGGGGUUGGAAAGUUUCGGCGGUUGGGGAUGGACUCGCGGCUUAUCAGCUUGUUGGUGGGGUAGUGGCUUACCAAGGCUUUGACGGGUAGCCGGCCUGAGAGGGUGACCGGCCACAUUGGGACUGAGAUACGGCCCAGACUCCUACGGGAGGCAGCAGUGGGGAAUAUUGCACAAUGGGCGGAAACCUGAUGCAGCAACGCCGCGUGCGGGAUGACGGCCUUCGGGUUGUAAACCGCUUUCGCCUGUGACGAAGCGUGAGUGACGGUAAUGGGUAAAGAAGCACCGGCUAACUACGUG